AUACAUUCAAAUUAAAUUCAAUUUCUUUCAUAGUAUUUAAAAUAAAGUUAAAUACUGGUAUAAAAUAAACAGAGUUAGAUAGUAAAUCUUGAACGCGGCGGGGAACACUUAACGAGUUCUCUUCUGCAACAUCACUAAUGACACUGACAAGUAACAACCUUUGCAUGGCAAACGAUUCACAAUCAAAUAUAACGUGUUUUAUGUCCGCAUUUUCUUUAAAACAAUAAGUACACUUACCAUCAGUAAUAAUAUUCUUCCUCUUGAGAUGUGCUGGGACCAAAUAAUGACCAAAACGCAGACGGUUAAGGCACGUUAUGAAUUUCCUGUUGGUAUAUUUAAAGCCAUAAUACCACGGUGUUGUUGGCAAAGAACCUGUAAUGUAAUGAGAGUAUUAGCCGAGAUGUUAGCUGACUGAGCAAUUUCUACUGGGUAUAACACUUUAUCCAAGACAACAAGAUUCUCACAAGACAACUCCUUUAA